CCUAGAGGCAGCAGUGGGGAAUCUUGCGCAAUGGGCGAAAGCCUGACGCAGCAACGCCGCGUGCGGGAUGGAGGCCUUCGGGUUGUAAACCGCUUUCAGCAGGGAAGAAAUUGACGGUACCUGCAGAAGAAGCCCCGGCCAACUACGUGCCAGCAGCCGCGGUAACACGUAGGGGGCGAGCGUUGUCCGGAUUUAUUGGGCGUAAAGAGCUCGUAGGCGGUUCGGUAAGUCGGGUGUGAAACCUCCAGGCUCAACCUGGAGACGCCACCUGAUACUGCUGUGACUAGAGUCCGGUAGGGAGUGUGGAACUCCUGGUGUAGCGGUGAAAUGCGCAGAUAUCAGGAAGAACACCAGCGGCGAAGGCGGCACUCUGGGCCGGUACUGACGCUGAGGAGCGAAAGCGUGGGUAGCAAACAGGAUUAGAUACCCUGGUAGUCCACGCCGUAAACGUUGGGCACUAGGUGUGGGUCUCAACCAACGAGAUCCGUGCCGCAGCUAACGCAUUAAGUGCCCCGCCUGGGGAGUCGGCCGCAAGGCUAAAACGUCAAAUGAAUUGACGG
rnacentral:rRNA from 1 species